rnacentral:lncRNA from 1 species
CCACCAUAACUACCCAUAUGCGGUAUUUCACCGCCUUUCCAAGUAAAUUUGAAGUGCCAGCUCUAAUAUUCAAAAUAAAUUGCUGGUUUGUGUGCCCGUACCGCUCAUGAAGCAACGAGGGGUGGCUGGUACCUUCCAUGUUAAAUAGGUUAUUCUCAAGAUGAGUGUUUGUUAACUUGUCAUUGCAGGAGAGUAUGGCGGUAAUAGGGAUGCCUAGUCCCAAAAUACAAAAAAUAUAUUUUAUAUUGUCAAAUAAUAAAUUCCUUGGAAAGUGUUUGUGUGGACGGUACCCAUGGAUACGGCUAGCCGUGGAAUGUGAAAGAAUGGUGGAAAAAGGAAUAAACCUGCCUAUAAUUUGUUUAUCAUGGAGGAUAUUAGAAACUCUUAGUCAUUUUCGUUGACAAGAAAAGCAGACCACCCAAAAUAUUUUAUCUCUAAUUUUUUCACUUUGAUCUCUCGCACCUCUACAA